CGCCGCCGGGCCAGCUCAGCCCGGCCCGAUACAGACUGGGGUCGGGUUGAAAAUUUUGUUAUUGGGCUCAAUUUGAGUGAGCCCAGCCCGGGCCGAGCCCGAUUAUCACUUCUAUAGCCCAGCCCGGCCUGGUCCGACGGCCUGUUAGGUCACUUGCCCGCAGCCCCCUCCCCUAAAUCCCUAAUCGCAUUUUCUUUCCAGUUUCCAUCGAGGGAGGCAUCGAGGAUUCGAGGGAGGCAGAGACAAGAAGAGACUGUGACCGCGUGCCACCGGCUACCAGCCAGUCCGCCACCGCCACGGCGCCACCGUCUCCGCUCCACCAUUGGGCCACUCGCCACCGUGAUAGUACGAGAUUGGAAUAACUGGAACUCGACACUGGAAGGGGUUGCUUGUUUAUCUUGGGGUUUGGUUUCCUUUUCUUUCCAUCAGAAGUUUGAUUUCAGUGGCAACUUACGUGCUUUUCUUUUAUGCUGGGAUUUUCAUUAUAACCGAGGUUCUGCACUUUGGUUUGAGGUCUGGUGGUUUCUCCUGUAGGAGAAAUGCCUGUUCAGUUGUUAAUAUGUAUCUGAUUGCACUCAAGUCGCCAAAGAUGCCAGCGGGAGCCAUAUUCUUGAGUCCUUUAUUUCUUCAAAUGUUGAUGUGAAGCGGAAGCACAAACUGUACUAGUGCACGUGGCAGUAUGCACAAGCACUUAACACCCAUUUGAUGUACCCAUGUAACCAUGCUCACAUAUAUCUUUGUGACUGUAUUAGAGCAUCUUCAUGUUUGGCUUCUGAACCAUUUUUCAGUGAUGGUUUACUCUUUCUGUUCAUCACCAUUUGGUUUCUCUAAUUCUCAUCUUGAUUUUAGUAUGUUGUCAGUUUGAGUGCCUUUUCUCUCUUGUCUAAUGAAUAUUUUUUGGAAUGGAUGAGUUAUGCUCAUUUUUUCUUUUCAAGCUGUGAUGGUUAGGAGCCUUUAUGCCUAAUUAUAUGCAAUAAAGUUUUAAAUCUUUUUUAUUGUAGAA